UCCUCUCCCUCUACUCAUCUCCCCGCCGCGUCGCCCCCAGCCUCCACCCUUACCCCCACAGCCACCACAAAUCGACGGCCUCGCCUCCCACCGCCGCCCGUUCUCAUCCCCUCCCCCGGUUCAUCAGAGAGGAAAAUUGGCAGGUCGAGCGACCAGAUCCACCCACAUCUGGCCCCGUUGCAACUGGCGACGACCGCGGUGUUGGCGGGCGGCGCCAACAUGCCGCUCUCGGCCAUGGAGCUGCUCCUGUCGGGCCACCCAAACCCGUCUGUCGCCUGCUCGCCUCCCGCGGCAUCUUCUCCGAACACACAACCGACGGCGGUACGUGCUUGUGUUGGCGUGGCCGCUGCUCCACGAGGUCGUGCUCGACCCCGCCGGUGCGGAUCCCUUCACGCGCGCCCACGCUAGUGUCCCCGCCUACGCCUACUACGGCCAGGACCGGGAGGCGAAUGAGGUGAUGCUCUGGGCCAUGACCGGCGUGUCAGAGCCAUUCAUGGAGGUGCUGCUGGACGGGUACUGCCCCGGUGGAGGGUUUGAGGGCGUGGCCAUGCUCGUCAACGUUGGCGCCAGCUCCGGCGCCUUCCUCGCGAUGAUCAUGCGCAGGGUGCCCACCAUCCGCCAGGGACUCAGCUUCGACCUGCCAGAUGUCGUCGCCGCCGCGCCUCCCAUCUCUCGUGAGACCAUCGAUCCCCCAAUCCGCUAGCCUUCCUGCCCGUUGUUGUUGCCGUUGCCUUCUUCCCUGCUGUCUUCUCCUCAUGACAGAGCUUUACCCGCCUGAAUUCUUAGUGAAGAAGGUGCAGGCAUGUAGCCACGGGAGCACGGGACAGCUUGAUCUAGAUGGCAAGCUGAAGUACAUCAUUCGUGUACUGACAGUAAUACUCUAGGUACUAAAGUGCAGUGGUCGUGUGAUGUUAGUAAUCUUGCACGUACUAUACGAUGGGUACUUAACUACAGCCGUCGUCACCGACAGUCAUCUAGUAAGUUGAAGCAGUGAUUGAAAGUUGAAGCAGACUAACUAACAAACAAAUUGGCAGAACAUAGCACCACAAUUGACUGUGACAAUGCCACGACCGAUCAUUACCACCACCACACACAGAAAAUAUAAAGAAACAGAUGUUGUUUUUGGUAUCAACAUAUGCAGGAGACUAGUUUGAUAAUGAGGUUUCAGAGCAUACUCGGGGUAAACUAUGCAUAAUGCACUCUUACUAAUACUGGCUUGAGAAAAAUUAACAAGUUCAGAGUUCACAUGCUAAUACUGAAGAUAUUGUGCCAUCCCUGUCCCUACCUAACAUGGUAAAAAUGAAAGGAUAGGCACAAUUUUUUGCUAUAUUUUUUUGUUAGCUGGUUUUGUACCACACUUAUGGUAAAUGCAUAUGCAUUCCUUAGCAUCUUUGCUUCAGAAUGUUUAACAUGUUCAGAGUUCACGGUGUCAACAUCAACAGUAGAUGAGUUACAAAAAAAAGAUGAGUUUGAUAAUGAGUUUUUUUAGGACCGAUAAUGUGGUUCACAUGCUAAUACUGAAGAUAUUGUGUAUACUACAGUUUUACCAUAGCUUCUCGCCCGUGUUUUGUUACUCAAAAAAUCACAAUGAAGAAAUCUAAGUCGUACCUGGUAUUUCUCUGUAAAAUUGAACUGCUACUGCAUGAGCCAGAAGCUGAUUAUGAGCUGAAAUCUACCAUUUGUGUUGAGGCUUGAGACACACUCAUAUUGUUAAUUGCUUGCCCUAAAAACUGCUUGUCUACUGCUUGCCCUCAAAACUUUUUGGCUACUGCUUGCCUAGUCAAUUUUCAGUACAUAUGUACAUGUGUGUGGUGAACUAGUGGAUUCAUGCCAGAAUUUUGCAUUGUGCUUACAAGUCCUUAGAGUCAUCUAAUGCCAAAUAAUCUACUAGGCAGACACAAUUGAUUUAUGUGAAAUAGUAGAUGAGUAUAAAAUUAAUUUAGCUAGAGUGUUGGCAUGAUCUCAUUGUGUUCCAUGAAUUUUGUUGUUCCAUAUCUAAUAAUUAUUACGCAUUUAUAGAUAAGAAAAAUAUACACAGAUGUUCAUACCUAGAUCCACUUGCUUUACUUCUUGACUAUCCUUGAUGCUCAUUCACUUGUUGAUGUUCCUUGGUUAUCUGUGAUGGACGAGGGGGGAGAAGGGAUGGCAGAGGAGGUUCACAAUAUAUAGGACGACAAAUUACAUGAUGCAUGGGGUAGCUAUACUCACGAACAAAGACAUGUACGUAGAUGCAAGGAAGAUGAGGAGGAAGGAUGAAAGGUAGGUCAGAUGGGGAAUACCUGUACAGAUUGAAGCACCGCCGCCGUCACUUGCUGGUUCUCCCGAGCCGUGGCCGGUCCAAAAUUCCAGCCGCGGCGGCCGGCGCGGCCGCCUCCAAUUUGUUCGUAAGGGAGAGGGCUCGGGGCCAUGCCAUGGUCGCCGUCUUGGGUGUUGGUGGCUGCUACAGCAUGGUUCGUGGCUUUUGUGCUCGUGGGGUUGAAGGCAUGGAUGCUUCAUUUUGGAUAUGGAAUCAUUGAUGAUUGAUUUUGUAUAUGGAAUGAUUUUGUAUAUGGAAUGAAAUGGAAUCAUUGAUGAUUGAUUUUGUAUA